rnacentral:rRNA from 1 species
GCUGAACUUAAGCAUAUCAAUAAGCGGAGGAAAAGAAACCAACAGGGAUUGCCCUAGUAACGGCGAGUGAAGCGGCAACAGCUCAAAUUUGAAAUCUGGCGCAAGCCCGAGUUGUAAUUUGUAGAGGAUGCUUCUAGGUAGCGACCGGUCUAAGUUCCUUGGAACAGGACGUCAUAGAGGGUGAGAAUCCCGUAUGUGACCGGCCCGCACCUUCUACGUAGCUCCUUCGACGAGUCGAGUUGUUUGGGAAUGCAGCUCUAAAUGGGAGGUAAAUUUCUUCUAAAGCUAAAUACCGGCCAGAGACCGAUAGCGCACAAGUAGAGUGAUCGAAAGAUGAAAAGCACUUUGGAAAGAGAGUUAAAAAGCACGUGAAAUUGUUGAAAGGGAAGCGCUCACAACCAGACUUCUGGGCGGUGUUCCGCCGGUCUUCUGACCGGUCUACUCACCGUCCCGAGGCCAACAUCAUCUGGGACCGCCGGAUAAGACCUUAGGAAUGUAGCUCCCCUCGGGGAGUGUUAUAGCCUGUGGUGAUGCGGCGCGUCUCGGGUGAGGUCCGCGCUUCGGCAAGGAUGUUGGCGUAAUGGUUGUCAGCGGCCCGUCUUGAAACACGGACCAAGGAGUCUAACAUCUAUGCGAGUGUUCGGGUGUCAAACCCCUACGCGUAAUGAAAGUGAACGGAGGUGGGAAGGGUAACCUGCACCAUCGACCGAUCCUGAUGUCCUCGGAUGGAUUUGAGUAAGAGCAUAGCUGUUGGGACCCGAAAGAUGGUGAACUAUGCCUGAAUAGGGUGAAGCCAGAGGAAACUCUGGUGGAGGCUCGCAGCGGUUCUGACGUGCAAAUCGAUCGUCAAAUUUGGGUAUAGGGGCGAAAGACUAAUCGAACCAUCUAGUAGCUGGGUCCUGC